UGGAGAACGACGCGAUUUUCGUGAAAUCGUACGCGGAUUUGCGGGUUGCGGAUCAUUGCCAGAGACGUGGAUGUCAUAAUUGUCUCGAAUAUUGCAGACGUGGAAUUCCUGCAACAAAAUGAUGACUUUACGACGCUAUAGAAAUAAAAAUUAUACUAAAAAUUCGUCUAGCACAUAUUCUACGGCUACUAAAAGUAAAAAGUGAUAACAGACGGAAGGAGAUCAUAAUUUAUUCGCAAGUAAAUUUCAUCGACUAAUUGAUCUUAUUAUUCAUCGAUAACGAUACAUUGUGCGAGGUUCGAAUUGCAAGAUAACCAGUUUGUUUACGUUCUUGAUGAAUCGUUAUAUAGCUUUGCGUCAGAAGGAUGGUAUAACGAUGCUCGAAGUGAAUGGAGGAGGAAUAUUUAUUUAUCUUGGCUGAUCAGAAAUGAUCGAGUGACUCUCAUUACGAGGCAAGUUCCACUCGAUGUCGUUAUAACGUUAUACAUCAUCGAAGAUCCGUCUAUGUAACUUGCCUAAGGCAUCGAUGAUGUUAAGUGGUUGAGAUAUUGUCGAUUUAAAGUCUCACGCUGUUUCUUUUUUUUUUUUUUUUUUUUUUGAGUAAAAGUAUGUCAUGCUUAAUUAAUGUUGUAUUAAUAACAUUUAAUAACAUUAUUCAAUAUAGCAAAAUAAUCUCUCUUUUUUUAUUAUGUAGAUUCGAUGAUUUAUUUUUGCUGCGAUGGAUUUUCAAUUGUAAAUCACGAUAAAAUUUUGACAUUUUAAUAUAUUACGUGAGCAGUGUAUUUUUUUGACAUUUAAAAGAUAUUGUAGCCUGUUCACAUUUGUAGAAAAUGUAGAAACGAAGAAAGAAUCAGAAGAAAAAAUAUUUUGUAAAAUAUGUCACACGUAAUUAAA